rnacentral:rRNA from 1 species
GGAUGCGAUCAUACCAGCACUAAAGCACAGGAUCCCAUCAGAACUCCGAAGUUAAGCGUGCUUGGGCGAGAGUAGUACUAGGAUGGGUGACCUCCUGGGAAGUCCUCGUGUUGCAUUCCC